CAAUGAGUGCCGUCCAAUAAGGGCAGGGCUGCCCAUGCUGUGGACAGCAGACACAUCAUUUAGAACUGCCCCGUCACUCACAGACAAUUCCCCUGACUCGUUCACCCUUUAGCUUGCUGAACCUUUUCCUGGAUUUCCACAACUGGUGAUUCUACACCUCCACCAUUCUCCAUCUCUUCUGCAACCACCAGCCCACUCAGUGGGAACAGGAGCGCUUUGUCUCCUUCUUCACAAAGACCAGCAAAGGAACAUUAGAAGAGAACUGCCUCCACUUACCUGCCCAACGCCACCCUGCCCAGGCACAAGCAGCAGCUACACCUUCCACAUCUCUGCUCUGAUCUCAGAGAAAAGCUGUUUCUCUCCUGCUUCCAAGGUCAAUUUCCCCACCCACGCUCUUCAGCGCCUUCCACCCUUCUGGACGGAAUCCGGUCCAGUCGCUACUGCUUCCAUCACUGCUCCUUUGUUUUUGCUGAACACAGAUGUUACAACGAUCUAAGGAAUGCUGCAGACCCUCUCGCCAGGAAAACGCAUGUGACAUACCCAGUUGCAUAGCCUUUCAGAGGGCCCCACGGAGCUGAAAUGCAGCUGAGGCCGUAUUCGUACCAGCAAUUUCACAGUCCCGGCCAAAGGGCGCUCCGCACGUGGAUGCUCGGCGCAGAGCGAGGCGGAGGGGGAGCUUCGGCUCCCGACACGUCUUCGAGCUACUUCAAUGAAGUCACUUCAGUGACAAGACCCAAAUAUUCAUCAGAACUGAGAUCAUCCUGAAGGACAACUGGGCCUUUGCCCAUGAGCAGCGACGCUAUCGAUAUUUUCUACUCUUGAAGUAGGAGGCAUUGAGGAAAUAUGGGAUGACCAGAAAUCCACCACCC
rnacentral:lncRNA from 1 species